rnacentral:rRNA from 1 species
AUGAACGCUGGCGGCGUGCCUAAUACAUGCAAGUCGAGCGAACAGACGAGGAGCUUGCUCCUCUGACGUUAGCGGCGGACGGGUGAGUAACACGUGGAUAACCUACCUAUAAGACUGGGAUAACUUCGGGAAACCGGAGCUAAUACCGGAUAAUAUAUUGAACCGCAUGGUUCAAUAGUGAAAGACGGUUUUGCUGUCACUUAUAGAUGGAUCCGCGCCGCAUUAGCUAGUUGGUAAGGUAACGGCUUACCAAGGCGACGAUGCGUAGCCGACCUGAGAGGGUGAUCGGCCACACUGGAACUGAGACACGGUCCAGACUCCUACGGGAGGCAGCAGUAGGGAAUCUUCCGCAAUGGGCGAAAGCCUGACGGAGCAACGCCGCGUGAGUGAUGAAGGUCUUCGGAUCGUAAAACUCUGUUAUUAGGGAAGAACAAAUGUGUAAGUAUCUAUGCACGUCUUGACGGUACCUAAUCAGAAAGCCACGGCUAACUACGUG